GGUAGUAUAGCUCAAUGGUAGAGCAUGUGAUUUUCAUAUAUUCAAAUCCUGGGUUUGAUUCUCAGCACCACAA
rfam:Ictidomys tridecemlineatus contig064090, whole genome shotgun sequence.